rnacentral:rRNA from 1 species
GAUGAACGCUGGCGGCGUGCCUAAUACAUGCAAGUCGAGCGAACAGACGAUGAGCUUGCUCCUCUGACGUUAGCGGCUGACGGGUGAGUAACACGUGGAUAACCUACCUAUAAUACUUGGAUAACUUCGGGAAACCGGUGCUAAUACCGCCUCAUACAUUCUACCGCUUAGUUCAAUAGUUAUACACGCCUUUCCUGUCACUUAGAGCUGGUUCCGUGCCGCCUUAGCUAGUUGGUAAGGUAACGCCCUACCAACGCUACGAUGCGUAUCGGACCUGAGAGGAUGAUCGGCCACACUGGAACUGAGACACGGCCCAGACUCCUACGGGAGGCAGCAGGGGGGAGUAUUGGACAAGGGGCGCAAGCCUGAUGCAGCCAUGCCGCGUGAGUGAAGAAGGCCUUCGGGUUGUAAAGCCCUUUUGUUGGGAAAGAAAAGAAGCAGAUUAAUAACCCGCUGUUCUGACGGAACCCAAAGAAAAAGCACCGGCUAACUUCGUG